UAAAACGUAACGACCCUCAGCAAUAGAUAUCCCGGCUCUCGCAUAGAUGAAGAACGUAGCGAAAUGCGAUACUUGGUGUGAAUUACAGAAUCGUCGGACCCUAAGGUGUUGAAAGCACAAAACCGUUACAACCCCAAGUCACGCAAGGCUACCUGUUGAGUUUAAGCAUAUCAAUAAGUGGAGGAAAUGAAACUUACAAGGAUUCCCCUGGUAACGGUGAGCGAAUAGGGAAGAGCCCAGCUUUAAAAUCGGGCGGCCUCACCAUUUGAAUUGUAGUCUGGAGAAGCGUCCUCUGCGGCGGACCGGGCCCAAGCCCCUUAGAAAGGGGCAUCAGAGUGGGUGAGAGCCCUGUCGUACCCAGACCCUGUCGCACCAUGGGGCGCUGUCUCUGAGUCGAGUUGUUUAGCCUAAGAUGGCAGUAAAUUCCGUCCAAGUCUAAAUUCGGGCGAGAAACCAGUAGCGAACAAGUACAGCAAGGGAAAGAUGAAGAGGACUUUGAAAAGAAAGUUAAAGAGUGCUUGAAAUUGCCAGGAGGUUAGCGGAUGAGGGCCGGUGAUGCACCCCGGUCGUAUGUGGAAUGGCCACAAGCCGAUCCGCCGAUCGGCUUGGGGUGCCGAUCGAUGCGAAUUGGAAGGGCAGCUAGUUCCGUCCGAAGUUUCCCUCAGGAUAGCGGGAGCUCAUACUCGCAUUCUAUCAGGUAAAGCCAAUGAUCAAAGGCAUUGGGGGCGCAAUGCCCUCGAUCUAUUCUCAAACUUUAAAUAAGUAGGAUGGCGCAGCUGCUUUAUUGAGCCGCGCCGUGGAAUCGAGAGCUCCAAGUUGGCCAUUUUUGGUAAGUAGAACUGGCGAUGCAGGGUGAACCGGAACUCGAGUUAUGACACCCAACUGCGCGCUAACCUAGAUCCCUCAAAGGGUGUUGGUCGAUUAAGAUAGCAAGACGGUGGUCAUGGAAGUCGAAAUCCGCUAAGGAGUGUCGGGGCAAGUGCAAGGCCCCGAUAAGUAGGAGGGCACGGCGAUUGCUAUAAAACCUGUGGCGCGAGCUAGGGCGGAGCGGCCGUCGGUGGUAGUAGCAAAUAUUCAAAUGAGAAGUUUGAAGGCCAAAGAGGGGAAAGGUUCCAUGUGAACGGCACUUGUACAUGGGUUAUCAGUCUUAAGAGACAGGGGAAACCCAUCCGACAGCGCGUUUUGUGCUAGCUUUGAAGGGAAUCGGGGGCAACGUUAGGGACUCCAGAGAAGUCCGUGGGGGCCUCGGGAAGAGUUAUCUUUUUUGUUUAACAGCCUGCUCACCCCGGAAAUAACUUAAUCAGAGGUAGGGUCUAGCCGUAAGAAGAGCAUCGUACGUCAUGCGGUGUCCAAUGCGCCCUCGGUAGCCCUUGAAAAUCUGAAGGACCAUGUGCCAACCACACCCGGUCGUACUCAUAACCGCGUCAGGUCUCCAAGGUGAAUAGCCUCUCGUCGAUGGAACAAUGUACGCAAGGGAUGUCGGCAAAAUGGAUCUGUAACUUCGGGAAAAGGAUUGGCUUUGAGGGCUGGGCACGGGGUUCCCAGUGCCAAACCCAUCGAUUGUCGACGAACUACUUGAGCGUCUCGCACGAUGAGAGCGGGUCGCCGUGUACCGGCCGAGGGAUGGACUGGGAACGGCCCCUUCGGGGGCCUUCCCCGGGCAUCGAACAAUCAACUCAGAACUGGUACAAACAAGGGGGAUCUGACUAUUUAAUUAAAACAAAGCAUUGUGAUUGUCCCCGUGGAUGUUAACGUAAUGUGAUUUCUGCCUAGUGCUCUGAAUGUCAAAGUGAAGAUAUUCAACCAAGCGUGGGUAAAUAGCGGGAGUAACUAUGACUCUCUUAAGGUAGCCUAAUGCUAAGUCAUCUAAUUAGUGACGCGCAUGAAUGGAUUAACGAGAUUCCCACUGUCCCUGUCUACUAUCCAAUGAAACCACAACCAAGGGAACGGGCUUGGCAGAAUCGUGCGGGCAAAUAAGACCCUGUUGAGCUUAACUCUAGUCCGACUUUGUGAAAUGACUUGAGAGGUGCAGCAUAAUUAGGAGCUUCGGCGUAAGUGAAACACCACUACUUUUAACGUUAUUUUACUUACUCCGAGAGUCGGAGGUGGGACAUCGCCCCUCUAUUUGGACCUAAGGCUCGCUUCGCGGGCCGAUCCGGGUAGAGGACAUUUUCAAGUGGGGAGUUUGGCUAAGGCGGCAUAUCUGUUAAAAGAUAACGCAAGUGUCCUAAGAUAAGCUCAACGAGAACAGAAAUCUCAUGUGGAAUAAAAGGAUAAAAUCUCGUUUCAUUCUAAUUUUGAGUAUGAAUACGAACCGUAAGAGCGUGACCUUAUGAUCCUUUAGACCUUCGAAAUUUGAAGCUAGAGGUGUCAGAAAAGUUACCACAGGGAUAACUGAAUUGUGGCAGCCAAGCAUUCAUAGAGAUGUUGCUUUUUGAUCCUUUGAUGUCGGCUCUUCCUAUCAUUAUGAAGCAAAAUUCAUCAAGUGUUGGAUUGUUCACCCACCAAUAAGGAACAUGAGCUGGGUUUAGACCGUCAUAAGACAGGUUCCUUUUACCCUAUUGAUAACAGUGUCACGAUGGUAGUUCAACAUAGUGCAAGUGGAACCGUUGAUUCACACAAUUGGUAAUCGCACUUGGUUUAAAAGCCAGUGGCACGAAGCUACCCUGCAUUAGAUUAUGACUGAACACCUCUAAGUAAGAAUCCGGGCCAAAAGCGACGCAUGCGCCCAUCGCCCGAUUAUCGACCUGCAGUAGAGGCCUUGGCCCCCAAGGGCAUGUGUCGUAGGCUAAGCCAGCGCGAUGGAUGCGCCGUGAGGACCACCCUGAAAUACAAUUCCUACCGAGCAGCGGGUUGAAUCCUUUGCAGACGAGUUAUAUACGCGACGGCAUAUUGAAUGUGGCAGAGUGGCCUUGCCCUCUCAAGUCUCCUCAACUCAAC
rnacentral:rRNA from 1 species